GAGGGGGGGUAAGAUAGAGGGAGGGGGGUUUAGGAGGUAAAGAAAGAUGAAAACAGAGGAGAGAUGCAAUGCAAAACAAACUAUAAUUGGGUUAAGUUAAACGUUGCCAUUGGACACCAGAUAAUGAAAAUAAUAAAAACUCAAAUCAGCAGGGUGGGAAUAGGGGAAAAAAGAAUACAAAGGGGGGUAGUAAAUCAUAAAAUAAAAAUAACUAAACAGAUACUGUAACAGAUGAGAAAAAAUACUAAUGUUCUUUUCCAUGUGUGGAGAGGUAGGCUGUAGCUAAGUGGGAUGGUGGGAGGGUUAGAGUUAGGGUCAGGGUCAGGGUGAGGGUGAGGGUGAGGGUUAGGGUUAGAGUUAGGGUCAGGGUUAGGGUUAGGGUGAGGGUGAGGGUUAGGGUUAGGGUCAGGGUGAGGGUUAGAGUUAGGGUGAGGUUGGGAGGGUUAGAUUGAGUAGAAGGCACUCGGAGAGUGGAUGGCACGGGCACAAGCAAAUAUGUUAACAAAAUAACUUUGGCUUAAAAAUAAUAAUAAUAAAAUAAAAUAAACCAAUAAAUGAUACUAAAUAGUUGGGGUGGGGGGAAGAGCUGUAACAUAAACAACAAAGGUUAAGGUUAGGAAGGGGGUGAAAGAGGUUAUGUUUAGGUGAGAUGAAGGGGGUUAUGUUAAGGAAAGGAUAUAGGGGAGGGUUAGGGUUAGGAAAGGGGAUGGAGAGGUUAUGGUCAGGGAAAUAAAUAGGAGACAAACCCAACACCAACCUCCUCUUAAUACAAUCUCCCCUUCUAGGCGACAGGGACAAGUGUGUAUGUCUCGCCUAAGAAGGUCGCGGCCCGGAAGAGACGGCGUCGGGACAAAGGUCAAAGACCCCACAGAGCUGUGAAAAGGUUAGGGUCAGAUGGCUCUGCAUUUGCUGCAUUGGAUGGCAUAAACAACGUUGGUAGAAAGCAGCGAGAAGGUCUGCCAGAUGGGGGCGCCAGAUUGUAAAUUGGAGAUAUACUUUAGAGAGGUUGGCCCGGUCAGAUGGGAAGAGAGCGGCUACUUCCUGCUUGAUGGUACGGAGAAAGCGUCUGGAGUAACCGCGGGGUCUAAGGGCCUCAAAGCGGGUCCUUGUAGCCUCCUCUACAUGAAUAGAAGACUAUGGUGUCCAAGAAGGGGACCUGUUGGAGAUGAAGGGUGUGUUUAAGAGUGAUGCGGGGGUGAUGUGAAUUAAGGAUGUGAAUAAAGUGAUUCAACUCAG